rnacentral:rRNA from 1 species
GUGUCAGCAGCCGCGGUAAUACGAAGGGGGCUAGCGUUGUUCGGAAUUACUGGGCGUAAAGCGCACGUAGGCGGACUUUUAAGUCAGAGGUGAAAUCCCGGAGCUCAACUUCGGAACUGCCUUUGAUACUGGAGGUCUUGAGUAUGGAAGAGGUAAGUGGAAUUCCGAGUGUAGAGGUGAAAUUCGUAGAUAUUCGGAGGAACACCAGUGGCGAAGGCGGCUUACUGGUCCAUUACUGACGCUGAGGUGCGAAAGCGUGGGGAGCAAACAGGAUUAGAUACCCCAGUAGUCC